GAUGAACGCUAGCUACAGGCUUAACACAUGCAAGUCGAGGGGUAGCACGGAGUAAGCUUGCUUCCUUGGGUGACGACCGGCGCACGGGUGAGUAACGCGUAUCCGACCUACCCAUAACUCGGGCACAGCCGCUCGAAAGAGUGAUUGAUUCCCGAUAUGUCCUUGGAGUAGAUUCAAUGAUGAAAGAUUUAUCGGUUAUGGAUGGGGAUGCGUAAGAUUAGGUAGUAGGCGGGGUAACGGCCCACCUAGCCGACGAUCUUUAGGGGUUCUGAGAGGAAGGUCCCCCACCCUGGUACUGAGACACGGACCAGACUCCUACGGGAGGCAGCAGUGAGGAAUAUUGGUCAAUGGGCGGAAGCCUGAACCAGCCAAGUAGCGUGAAGGAUUACAGCCCUACGGGUUUUAAACUUCUUUUAUAUAAGAGUAAUGUGCACUACGUGUAGUGUAUUGCAAGUAUUAUAUGAAUAAGCAUCGGCUAACUCCGUGCCAGCCGCCGCAGUAAGAC
rnacentral:rRNA from 1 species